rnacentral:rRNA from 1 species
GGACCCGCACAAGUAGUGGAGCAUGUGGUUUAAUUCGAAGAUACGCGCAGAACCUUACCAACACUUGACAUGUUCGUCGCGACUUUAAGAGAUUAAAGUUUUCGGUUCGGCCGGACGAAACACAGGUGCUGCAUGGCUGUCGUCAGCUCGUGUCGUGAGAUGUUGGUUAAGUCCCGCAACGAGCGCAACCCUCACUUUUAGUUGCCAUCAUUAAGUUGGGCACUCUGAAAGAACUGCCAGUGAUAAGCUGGAGGAAGGUGGGGAUGACGUCAAGUCCUCAUGGCCCUUACGUGUUGGGCUACACACGUGCUACAAUGGUAGGUACAGAGAGCAGCCAAAUGCGCGAGCAUGAG